rnacentral:rRNA from 1 species
UGCCUACGGGGCGCAGCAGUGGGGAAUUUUGGACAAUGGGCGCAAGCCUGAUCCAGCUAUUCCGCGUGUGGGAUGACGGCCCUCGGGUUGUAAACCUCUUUUGCCGGGGAGCAAAGAGCGGGACGCGUCCCGCCUCGAGAGUACCCGGAGAAAAAGCAUCGGCUAACUCCGUGCCAGCAGCCGCGGUAAUACGGAGGAUGCGAGCGUUAUCCGGAUUUAUUGGGUUUAAAGGGUGCGCAGGCGGAAGCGCAAGUCAGCGGUAAAAUUGAGAGGCUCAACCUCUUCCCGCCGUUGAAACUGCGUUU